rnacentral:lncRNA from 1 species
GGGUUAUCCUAUCUUGUGGAUGAUCCCCUGUUGUCUGUACGAACCUCCACCAUCAAGAACCACGAGUUUAUUGAUGAGCAGAUGUUUGAGCAGAACUGCAUGGAGAGCUCAAUGCAGAACUACCCAUCCACCAGAAGCCCUUCUCUGUCCAGCCACUCGGGCCUCACCACCACCUGCUGCUCCCGCCGUAGCAAGAAGACCACGCACCUGCCCAACUCCAACCUGCCGGCCACCCGCCUGCGCAGCAUGCAAGAGCUCAGCACCAUCCACAUCCAGGGCAGUGAGCAGCCCUCCCUCACCACUAGUCGCUCCAGCCUUAAUUUGAAAGCAGACGACGGACUGAGACCAAACUGCAAAACAUCCCAGAUUACAACAGCCAUCAUCAGCAUCCCUACUCCCCCAGCUCUAACCCCAGAGGGAGAAAGUCGGCCACCCCCUGCCAGCCCAGGUCCCAACACGAACAUUCCUUCCAUAACCA